rnacentral:sRNA from 1 species
AUGGCUGUCGUCAGCUCGUGUUGUGAAAUGUUGGGUUAAGUCCCGCAACGAGCGCAACCCUUAUCCUUAUUUGCCAGCACGUAAUGGUGGGAACUUUAGGGAGACUGCCGGUGAUAAACCGGAGGAAGGUGGGGACGACGUCAAGUCAUCAUGGCCCUUACGAGUAGGGCUACACACGUGCUACAAUGGCGAGUACAGAGGGUUGCGAAGCCGCGAGGUGGAGCUAAUCCCAGAAAGCUCGUCGUAGUCCGGAUUGGAGUCUGCAACUCGACUCCAUGAAGUCGGAAUCGCUAGUAAUCGUGGAUCAGAAUGCCACGGUGAAUACGUUCCCGGGCCUUGUACACACCGCCCGUCACACCAUGGGAGUGGGCUGCACCAGAAGUAGAUAGCUUAACCUUCGGGAGGGCGUUUACCACGGUGUGGUUCAUGACUGGGGUGAAGUCGUAACAAGGUAGCCCUAGGGGAACCUGGGGCUGGAUCACCUCCUUACCUUAACGACUAACUUGAUGUUUGUUGAGUGUUCACACAGAUAUGCUUGUCGAGAAGAAAGAAUAAAAAUAUAUGGGUCUGUAGCUCAGCUGGUUAGAGCGCACCCCUGAUAAGGGUGAGGUCGGUGGUUCAAGUCCACUCUGACCCACCAAAAUCCUUCCCUAACUUUGUUGGAAAGCGAUUCGUUUAUGAAAAACUAAACGUCAUCACUUCCCGUCUCGUUAUGAAAUGAUUUGGUACCAACUUAGUAAUAAGUGAAAUAUAUUUUUAUUUGACUGCAUGUAAAUGGGGCUAUAGCUCAGCUGGGAGAGCGCCUGCCUUGCACGCAGGAGGUCUGCGGUUCGAUCCCGCAUAGCUCCACCAUUUACUUGCUUAAGGAAAGAGACGCCAAAGAUAAAUAGAACAAUUUAUCUUUGGCUUUUUUUAGCCUGCUCUUUAACAAUUUGGAAAGCUGAUAGUGUUAAUGUGAAAGGGACAUUGUUUUUAAAUAAAUUCGUUUAUUGAUAAAGUGAUGUUUAUAGCAUUAGCGCGAAAUAAAAAAUUGAGUUCUAAACACUUAAGCAUUAAGUGUCUUGGCUUGUGACUUAACAUGUAUCUGUUGGGAAGUGAGUUAAAAAUUCUAAUUUUGGCGAAAGUAGAAACCAUUAGUUGCGAUAUAACAGUUAACACUACCUGUGUUGAUGUUAAGGCUCUUUUUGAGACUUAUUAGUGUUGUAUGGUUAAGUGACUAAGCGUAUAUGGUGGAUGCCUUGGCAGUCAGAGGCGAUGAAGGACGUAGUAACUUGCGAAAAGCGUUGGCGAGCUAGUAACAAGCAUUUGAGCUAACGAUGUCCGAAUGGGGAAACCCGG